UACGUAGGGGGCUAGCGUUGUCCGGAAUCAUUGGGCGUAAAGAGCGUGUAGGCGGCCCGGUAAGUCCGCUGUGAAAGUCCAGGGCUCAACCCUGGAAAGCCGGUGGAUACUGCCGGGCUAGAGUCCGGAAGAGGCGAGUGGAAUUCCUGGUGUAGCGGUGGAAUGCGCAGAUAUCAGGAGGAACACCGAUGGCGAAGGCAGCUCGCUGGGACGGUACUGACGCUGAGGCGCGAAAGCGUGGGGAGCGAACAGG
rnacentral:rRNA from 1 species